CGGACAGCGAAGUCUUAGUAAUAGGGUCCCGUUUUACCUUUUGGGUACGGAACCCUAAAAACUACUUACUAGAUCUCGUUCAAACCAAUUUACGGUGGAAGUUUGCUUGGUAAUGUACAUCAUAUACUUAUUUUUUUUUAGUUUUAUCAUUCUCUUAUUUUAGAAGUUACAGGGAUGGGGGGGCACGCAUUUUACCACUUUGGAAGUGUCUCUCGUGCAAACUAUUCAGUUUAGAAAAAAAUUAUAUUAGAAACCUCAAUAUCAUUUUUAGGACCUAUCCAUAGAUACCCCACACGUAUGGGUUUGAUGAAAAAUAAUUUUUUUAGAGCUUCAGUUCUAAGUAUGGGGAACCCCCAAAAUUUAUUGUUUUUUUUUUUCUAUUUUUGUGUGAAAAUCUUAAUGCGUUUCACAGAAUACAUCUACUUACCAAGUUUCAACAGUAUAGUUCUUGUAGUUUCGGAAAAAAGUGGCUGUGACAUACGGACGGACAGACAGACAGACAUGACGAAUCCAUAAGGGUUCCGUUUUUUGCCAAUUGGCUACGGAACCCUA